rnacentral:lncRNA from 1 species
AAAAUGUGUUUGUAUUGCUCUUCCCUGCGUAUCUAACUGGUCUAGAGAUGACAGAAACAUGAAAGUGUUGGAUGGAUGCAUUUAAUUGCAGAAUCAGAGCAACUGGCAGUUGGGAACACUAAUUCAAGUCAAAAUGCAGACAAUUCACAAAGUAUUUGCCAGAGUAUUUUAAAACGAAGAAAUGGAAAACUUCUUUAACUCAAAUACGAAGAGUUCAGUUGAGACUUUGGCCGAGCCUUUAUGACUUGUCCUGUAGGAAACGGACCGCAGAAGCUUGCUGUCCAGAUGUUUCUGAUUUUGAAGCUUUGUAAUCUUCUUGGGAAUCGAAUUAGCAACAGACCAGAGCUCUCAUCAUUUUCAAAUUAAACUGUGAACGCUGGGAGGCAGAUGCUCUGAUGGGUGGUAAUUAGGUGAGUGUUUCAUCAUUUCCUCCCGAAGACCCUCAGAGACUCUGCUGCUCUCUCCUUUGGGUCCUCGUUACCUCACUGCACAAUUUUCCCUUUUUAUGCUUAUUUGCAUCCUUCACUAAUAUGGGCUCUUUUUCCGACUAUCACCAGUCUGCUGACGCUGUUCCUUUGGGGUCCAUUCUUCCCCCAAUCCAGUGGUUCUAAUGGGGUUAUCAAUAGCGGCAUUCUGUCCCUGGAGUCCCCGGGGCAGGGGGCGCACCCGUUCCGUGGUUCCAAGGAUCAGCGGGGUGGAUGUCGAACCCAGCCCAGGCCUGGCAGGGCCCUCUCUGGGGCCUUUCCCUUUGGGACUGUAGGAGAAGAGAGAAACCUUAGUUUUGUGUGUGUAUCACGGUAAUUGGAAGAUAAAAUUCUGAGGUUCUUAGAGGCCAUUUUCCUUUUAAAAUAGAGAGAGGACUCCUGAGCCUAAAAGAAUUGCUUCGCGCAGAGACCAAGAGGUAAAGCCAAGAACACAACAAGAGUGAGAAUCCUGAGGCAUCGUUUCGGGUCUGGACUGGGCUGGGCUGAGUCCACCCUACCACGGCCUUACCAGCUGCGUGAAGCCAGCACGUUCCCUCUGUGGCUUAAUCUACCAUGACAUUGAGUUUCAUAAUUUACAGUUGUAAGGACUCUAACU